rnacentral:tRNA from 1 species
GUAGUGGUAGUUCAGUGGUAGAAUUCUCGCCUUCCAUGUGGGAGGUGCGGGUUUGAUUCCAGGCCAAGGCA